rnacentral:rRNA from 1 species
GGGAAUAACGCUGGCGGCGUGCUUACACAUGCAAGUCGAGCGAGAAGACUUUGACAGAUCCUUCGGGUGAUGGAAAAGUUGGAAAGCGGCGGACGGGUGAGUAACGCGUGGGCAACCUGCCCCAUACAGGAGGAUAGCCACUGGAAACGGUGAUUAAUACUCCAUAAGACCACAGCACCACAUGGUGCAGAGGUAAAAACUCCGGUGGUAUGGGAUGGGCCCGCGUCUGAUUAGCUAGUUGGUAAGGUAACGGCUUACCAAGGCGACGAUCAGUAGCCGACCUGAGAGGGUGAUCGGCCACACUGGAACUGAGACACGGUCCAGACUCCUACGGGAGGCAGCAGUGGGGAAUAUUGCACAAUGGGCGAAAGCCUGAUGCAGCAACGCCGCGUGAACGAUGAAGGCCUUCGGGUUGUAAAGUUCUUUUCUUGGAGAAGAAUAAAUGACGGUAUCCAAGGAAUAAGCCCCGGCUAACUACGUGCCAGCAGCCGCGGUAAUACGUAGGGGGCAAGCGUUAUCCGGAAUCACUGGGCGUAAAGGGAGUGUAGGCGGUCAAGCAAGUCAGGGGUGAAAGGCAUCGGCUCAACCGGUGUAAGCCUUUGAAACUGUUUGACUUGAGUGCAGGAGAGGUAAGUGGAAUUCCUAGUGUAGCGGUGAAAUGCGUAGAUAUUAGGAGGAACACCAGUGGCGAAGGCGACUUACUGGACUGUAACUGACGCUGAGGCUCGAAAGCGUGGGGAGCGAACAGGAUUAGAUACCCUGGGUAGUCCACGCCGUAAACGAUGAAUACUAGGUGUCUGGGGUCGAACCUAGGUGCCGCAGCUAACGCAUUAAGUAUUCCGCCUGGGGAGUACGCACGCAAGAGUGCAACUCAAAGGAAUUGACGGAAGGG